rnacentral:rRNA from 1 species
GAGCUUGCUCCACCGAAAGAAAAAGAGUGGCGAACGGGUGAGUAACACGUGGGUAACCUGCCCAUCAGAAGGGGAUAACACUUGGAAACAGGUGCUAAUACCGUAUAACACUAUUUUCCGCAUGGAAGAAAGUUGAAAGGCGCUUUUGCGUCACUGAUGGAUGGACCCGCGGUGCAUUAGCUAGUUGGUGAGGUAACGGCUCACCAAGGCAACGAUGCAUAGCCGACCUGAGAGGGUGAUCGGCCACACUGGGACUGAGACACGGCCCAGACUCCUACGGGAGGCAGCAGUAGGGAAUCUUCGGCAAUGGACGAAAGUCUGACCGAGCAACGCCGCGUGAGUGAAGAAGGUUUUCGGAUCGUAAAACUCUGUUGUUAGAGAAGAACAAGGAUGAGAGUAAAAUGUUCAUCCCUUGACGGUAUCUAACCAGAAAGCCACGGCUAACUACGUGCCAGCAGCCGCGGUAAUACGUAGGUGGCAAGCGUUGUCCGGAUUUAUUGGGCGUAAAGCGAGCGCAGGCGGUUUCUUAAGUCUGAUGUGAAAGCCCCCGGCUCAACCGGGGAGGGUCAUUGGAAACUGGGAGACUUGAGUGCAGAAGAGGAGAGUGGAAUUCCAUGUGUAGCGGUGAAAUGCGUAGAUAUAUGGAGGAACACCAGUGGCGAAGGCGGCUCUCUGGUCUGUAACUGACGCUGAGGCUCGAAAGCGUGGGGAGCGAACAGGAUUAGAUACCCUGGUAGUCCACGCCGUAAACGAUGAGUGCUAAGUGUUGGGAGGGUUUCCGCCCUUCAGUGCUGCAGCAAACGCAUUAAGCACUCCGCCUGGGGGAGUACGACCGCAAGGUUGAAACUCAAAGGAAUUGACGGGGGCCCGCACAAGCGGUGGAGCAUGGGGGUUUAAUUCGAAGCAACGCGAAGAACCUUACCAGG